CAUUGAGAAUGGAUGGAAACUGAUAAAGAGCUGGAAGGAGUUAACUGAUGAGUAGACAUUACAACAUUUCUUAUAUUUUCAAGAUGAAGCUGAAAGUCCCAUGCAGGAUGAUGCUUCUCUACAGUGGAUGAUGAAAGCAUGCUGAUUACAAACCCAGGAGAGGAAUAAAGAACAGAUAUUGACAGAAUCAUAUCUAGAGAUGUGGGCCUACUGCACUUCAUACAAGCAAGUGUGCUAAUAUACCAUACUUGGGUUAUCAUCACAGCCCUUUCUUCUGAAAACUAG
rnacentral:lncRNA from 1 species